GCGGCAAGCGGCCGGCAUGGCGGUGCUGGCGGCCAACCCCAACAACCCCGUGGUGUUCUUCGACGUCACCAUCGGCGGGCAGGAGGUUGGCCGCAUGAAGAUUGAGCUGUUUGCAGAUGUUGUACCCAAGACUGCAGAGAAUUUCAGGCAGUUUUGUACAGGUGAAUUCAGGAAAGAUGGUGUCCCUAUAGGUUAUAAAGGAAGCACUUUCCACAGGGUAAUAAAGGAUUUCAUGAUCCAAGGAGGUGACUUUGUAAACGGAGACGGCACUGGAGUAGCCAGUAUAUACAGGGGUCCUUUUGCAGAUGAAAACUUCAAGCUGAAACACUCUGCUCCUGGGCUGCUCUCUAUGGCAAACAGUGGCCCAAGUACCAACGGCUGCCAGUUCUUCAUUACGUGCUCCAAAUGCGACUGGUUGGAUGGAAAACACGUUGUGUUUGGUAAAAUUGUCGAUGGGCUGUUGGUCAUGAGAAAAAUUGAAAAUGUGCCCACGGGUCCAAAUAACAAACCCAAGCUGCCAGUUGUGAUAUCUCAGUGUGGGGAAAUGUAAACAGAAGUGUGGAAGACAGACCCACGCUGGUGAGUCAGGUCCCCUUUAGGAUUGUCCUCGGGCCCAGACUGGUUGAUCCUUGCUGAGUACAUGAUCUCUGGCCACCAUCCAAUCUGAGACUGGAAGCUUUUCAUUUCUAGUGCUCUUUCACCAGCGGUUAGGCUGGUGCUCGCUCCAUGCAGUUCCAGCUCAAGCCCAGUCCUUUCCUGGGGCAGAUCCACGCUCUUGACUCUCUGAGAUGAUGUAAUAACUGGCAUCCAUCCCUUUUUUUUGGUGUCUUUAAAUGUAAAUAAAGGAUUUUGUUACA